GCGUAGGAAUAUUGAGGAGAUCUGUUUCCAGUACGAGAGGACCGGAAUGGACGUAUCUCUAGUGUACCGGUUGUGGCGCCAGCUGCACUGCCGGGUAGCUAUAUACGGCACGGAUAAGCGCUGAAAGCAUCUAAGCGCGAAGCCAACUCCAAGAUGAAUAUUCCCUUGAGGGUCGCAGAAGAUGACUGCGUUGAUAGGCUGUAGGUGGAAGUGUGGUAACGCAUGGAGCCGAGCAGUACUAAUCGCCCGACAGCUUCCUUUA
rnacentral:rRNA from 1 species